GAAUCGCAGGGGAUUUGGUGAAAAACUGGUAUUUCCUAGUAUGUGAAAACUGAAAAGAAAGCCCCGCCCAUCAGUCUUCGGCGGCUGCGCAGAGUGUCCCCCCCUUGCCCUCGCCCACGAAUUGAAACAAAAACUCUACACGUUGUCUCCAAGCGGACGGAAAUGGCUUAUCUCUUUGGUUAUUGGCAAAUCAUCUAUUAAGCACCCUGUAUGGGCCAGACCCCAUUGCCAAACUUAACAAUAGAGGUAUUAAGGAUGUGGUCCUCACCAUUAAUUGCUCACAGCCCAGCAGGAAGAUGGACACAGAAAAAAAUAAUUGCCGUACAAUGCAGCGAGCGUGUCCAUAGACCUUCACCCUGAAGUCGCCUGUUUUACCGAUGGCGUGCAUCAACGACAUUGAUUGGUUGUCUCGUUGACUGAUGGAUACCCAAGCCUCAUUCCUAAAAGGGACAUUAUCAAUAUGGCUAAUCAAAUGGUAUAGCAAAAGAGCAAAUGGACAGAUUAAGUAGACCUUAGCUACAUCUCCUACUUUCUGCCAAGGAGGAUAAAUUUCUAUCUCAACCCUUCCAUGAAGAGCAGAUACAGUGCAUUGAUAGAGCUGUGAUAGCUUCCCUUUCCAGGCACAGAUAUUAGAUAGCUUGUCUUUACCCCACCACCACUACCUUUAAAAAAUAUAUAUAUAUAUAUAAUCAGGGAGCCAAUACAUGGGGGGAAACAUUAUUGUUACCUAAUAUUUGGGAGUGGGGUUGGGGGAAGGAAUAGGGGAGUUGCUGACAGGGCUCCUGGCCCCCAGAGGCUGCAAGAGAAAUAUUCGCAUGCACAGUUCAGACAUAACUGAGUUCCCAUGAUCCCUAUCCGCAUCAGUUAGGAUGCUUUGGGCUAUAAGUAACUGAAUAUUCAAUUAACGUGGCUUAAACAGGAGGGUUUAUCUUCACUACAUAACAGUAAAUCCAGAGGCACUGGUUCCAAGCGAGGGACAAGGGUGGUAUUCAAAACACUUGACAGUCGGUCUCACACAGCACUGACAGAUCAGGACCAGUGGCCGACCAGACAGCUCAGCGACACACAGCGCUGCUGCCUCUGUCCGUCCGCGGAAUCCUGUCCCUGGCUCCACGUUGCUUCCACAGCUCAGUGAUGUCAGAACUUAGGUCAGCUUGAAAAGAUUCUCUUGCCCUUGCCUUUGCGGUGAGCUGCUGAGUGCCAUGCCCCAAAACAUCACUGCAACACCUAACAACGAAGCCUAACAGCACGAAGGAGAGAGUGAAGGUUUACCUCGGUGCAUCUCUCUUUUUAUGAGGGGGAAAUCUCUCCCAGAAGCCCUCAGUGGACUUCCUCUUAAGUACGAUUGGCCAGAAGCUGGGUCACAUGUCCAUCCUUAAACCAAUCACUAGCACAGGAACGAGGGCAUGCCGUGGUUGGCUUGGACCAAUCAUCAUUCAUUCUCUGGGGCUGGGGCGAGCUUGCCGCCUUGCCAAAACAUGUAGCUUUUGCUACCUGUACUAGAACCAAAGUCAUGUGCCGUUGGCAUGGAAGAAAGCACAGCAAGGAACAGCUUUUGUCAGGCAACCAGCAGUAUCUGCUACAUCACCCUUUUGGUGAGAAGCAGGUUUCCAUUUCCCCAAUACGAUCACCAUAGGGUGGAGGUGGGGUGAUCGGAGAAUCUGAUCACCCCACCAGUGCUGCUCCUUUUCUCUCAGAGAUGGAGCCAUCAGCCUGUGCGGGCGGCCCUAGAGAUCUUCAAGGUCAUAAUUUAAGACCAACUCAUACAUACAAGGGAGACGGCUGGGGACGGCCUGAGUUUCCUGAAGGAGGCAGCCAUUCUGCAAAACUCAGAAGUGUGAAGCGGGAGGGUCAGUGAGCCCCAGGCUCCUGGAUAACAGGGACCCUGUUCUGCUAGCUACAGACCCCUGAGAUCCGAGUCUAGCAAGAAGCCAGGAAUUACUGCACAAAGGAGGACCCAAGGACCCAGACAACCCAUCCAGCUCUGGUCCAGCCUCUUGCCAUCACAUGUAGACAGCAGCCCGGGAAUCUUCUAUGCCAGGAGGGCCUGCCUCACCCUAGCCUCUCUGAGGCUGAUCACCCGCCGCUCACCCAGUCCUCUUGCACUUCUCCCAAAGCCCAGAGCCUCGCCACCUCUCUGGGCCAUCCCGGUUUAGAAUGCAGAUGGACAGGGGUUGGGCAUGGCCAGGGGAGAUAGCCUUGUUCGGUUGCCAUGUCUGCAAGAGACAGUUUUGAACAAGCAAAUGUUUUGUCCCUUCAAGGUGCACAUAGAGGCAGGGCCCAAAUGUCCUGUGGCCUCUAUGAAGAGAUGAAUUGGUAACUGUUCUCACUUCUUGAGGCAGCUUACUAAGAAACCAAAUUGCCACCCCAAGGCUGGGCUGGCCAGCUCCCUAGACACCAGCCCCAAGCCUGGGCCUCUGAGUUCAGGCUCUGGGGGUUCCUUCCCCUUCUUCGGAAAGUAUGAUCAGUAAAGGUGAUUUCAUGGCCCACCAGGACAGUGCCAGCUCAGUCUGGAGAGCAGGCCUGCCCUGGGUGGGCCCUCUUGUGGCCCUCAGCCUCUAGUGGCAACGCGUGAAGGGGUUUACUGCCUUGGGGGAUCAGGGCAGAAACUGGAACCACCUUUCUAAAUGGCCUGACACAGCAGGCCUGGUUGCACAGGCCUGACAGGGCACACACGUGGUCAACGAGCAAGGGGAACCUUCUCAUUUCAGUCCCCACACAUAGGGUUGUGUGUUAUUUCUAGAAGGAUUACGCAGGCAGCCCUGUCCCGCGGUAUUGGCUUUCAGUGCCACGCUCAAUGAAGUAGAAAACCUGAAAGGAUCCCACAGAUGCAGUACCACUCCAACUCCAUGUAGACUAUGGGCCAUCCUUUGAAUGCCAGCUCUGAAAGUCAUGGCGAAAUGGGCCUUAGAAGCCCAGCACUAACCCAGUUAAACCAUUAUGGAACUGUAGGUUCAAAUCUCAAUCAACUCCCCUUCCCGCCAUAUAAUAUCAUUAGAGCACAUUUUUGCUAGACCAAUCCUCGGAUAUUAUGCCUUAAUCCUAACCCAAAGUCUCUGCUUGCCUAGAAAUGUCACAAGGCAGGGCGCCUGGGUGGCUCAGUUGGUUAAGCGACUGCCUUCGGCUCAGGUCAUGAUCCCGGAGUUCCGGGAUUGAGUCCCGCAUCAGGCUCCCU